GACGUAGGGCGCGAGCGUUGUCCGGAUUUAUUGGGCGUAAAGAGCUCGUAGGCGGCUUGUCGCGUCGAAUGUGAAAACUCGGGGCUCAACUCCGAGCUUGCAUUCGAUACGGGCAGGCUAGAGUUCGGUAGGGGAGACUGGAAUUCCUGGUGUAGCGGUGAAAUGCGCAGAUAUCAGGAGGAACACCGGUGGCGAAGGCGGGUCUCUGGGCCGAUAUGACGCUGAGGAGCGAAAGCGUGGGGAGCGAACAGG
rnacentral:rRNA from 1 species